AAACCAAAGAAUUAUUUAGGCCAAAAUGUUAAUAGUUUACACAGGUAUUAAUGCAAAAUGAUUCCUGCCCAGUGUUAGAAUGUCAAACUGAACAAAUUCAAUGCAAAGUAACUAUGACUCUUUUAAGGUCUCAUCAUCUAAUUAGUGAUGAGCAUGAGUGGAUGAAUGAGAUU
rnacentral:rRNA from 1 species